rnacentral:rRNA from 1 species
AUGUUUCAUCAUUCACUUAAAAUAGUCGAUUGGUCAUACAUUGAGUACCAUAUAACUGGAAUUAACCGAUGCAAGUCCAAGAAGGAUUGGCCGGUUCUGUCGGCUAGCGUCAAGUUCGAUCCCACGGAUCAAGAACUGAUUGAGCACCUUGAGGGCAAAGUGAGUGCUGACAGCGUGAGAUCUCACCCUCUCAUCGAUUUGUUCAUGGCAACCAUCGACAGCGAGCACGGCAUAUGCUACACCAAUGCUGACAAACUUCCAGGUAUCACACUGAGUGGCCUAAGCAAGCAUUUCUUCCAACGCAACUCCAGGAAGUUCAAAAGGGGCACAUGGACGCGUAGCAAUAUACAAUCAGAGUGCGGCAUGCACGCGAUGUGGCACAAGACCGGCAAUACCUUGCCGGUGAUGGUCAACGGCCGGCAGACGGGCAGCAAAAAGGUUCUGGUGCUGCACACCAACAAGAACUUCGACCAGAAGAGGACCAACUGGGUGAUGCACCAGUACCACCUCGGGGACCUGGAGCAAGAGAAGGAGUGGGAGAUGGCCCAACCCAUGACGACAAUGGGGCACAAAGAUCCAGAAGGUAUCUACUGGCCUCUGGCCCGCCAGCAUUAG